UACAGAGGGUGCGAGCGUUAAUCGGAGUUACUGGGCGUAAAGGGCGCGUAGGCGGUUGUUUAAGUGAGAUGUGAAAUCCCUGGGCUUAACCUAGGAACUGCAUCUCAUACUGAAUAGCUAGAGUAUUGUAGAGGGUAGUGGAAUUUCCGGUGUAGCGGUGAAAUGCGUAGAGAUCGGAAGGAACACCAGUGGCGAAGGCGGCUACCUGGACAAAUACUGACGCUGAGGCGCGAGAGCGUGGGGAGCAAACAGG
rnacentral:rRNA from 1 species